UACGUAGGGUGCAAGCGUUGUCCGGAAUUAUUGGGCGUAAAGAGCUCGUAGGCGGUCUGUCGCGUCUGCUGUGAAAACUCGGGGCUUAACCCCGGGCCUGCAGUGGGUACGGGCAGACUAGAGUGCGGUAGGGGAGACUGGAAUUCCUGGUGUAGCGGUGAAAUGCGCAGAUAUCAGGAGGAAUACCCGUGGCGAAGGCGGCCCCCUGGGCCGAACCCUGACGCUGAGGCGCGAAGGCUAGGGGAGCGAACGGGG
rnacentral:rRNA from 1 species